ACGAAAAAUAACGAUACGGGACUCAUCCGAGGCCCCGUAAUCGGAAUGAGUACACUCUAAACCCUUUAACGAGGAUCAAUUGGAGGGCAAGUCUGGUGCCAGCAGCCGCGGUAAUUCCAGCUCCAAUAGCGUAUAUUAAAGUUGUUGCGGUUAAAAAGCUCGUAGUCGAAUUUGUGUCCCGCGCCGCCGGUUCAUCGCUCGCGGUGUCAACUGGCGUGUCCGCGGGACGUCCUGCCGGUGGGCUUAGCCCUUCGGGGCGGCCCAAUCUCAAUCCCACCGCGGUGCUCUUCACUGAGUGUCGAGGUGGGCCGGCACGUUUACUUUGAACAAAUUAGAGUGCUUAAAGCAGGCUAAAACAUCGCCUGAAUACUGUGUGCAUGGAAUAAUGGAAUAGGACCUCGGUUCUAUUUUGUUGGUUUUCGGAACCCCGAGGUAAUGAUUAAUAGGAACGGAUGGGGGCAUUCGUAUUGCGACGUUAGAGGUGAAAUUCUUGGAUCGUCGCAAGACGGACAGAAGCGAAAGCAUUUGCCAAAAACGCUUUCAUUGAUCAAGAACGAAAGUUAGAGGUUCGAAGGCGAUCAGAUACCGCCCUAGUUCUAACCAUAAACGAUGCCAGCUAGCGAUCCGCCGACGUUCCUCCGAUGACUCGGCGGGCAGCUUCCGGGAAACCAAAGCUUUUGGGUUCCGGGGGAAGUAUGGUUGCAAAGCUGAAACUUAAAGGAAUUGACGGAAGGGCACCACCAGGAGUGGAGCCUGCGGCUUAAUUUGACUCAACACGGGAAACCUCACCAGGCCCGGACACCGGAAGGAUUGACAGAUUGAGAGC
rnacentral:rRNA from 1 species